rnacentral:tRNA from 1 species
GGGCUUGAUAGUGCGAAGCACGUUAGCGUUGAGGUCGCUGUGGGGUAACUCCCGUGGAAGUUCGAGUCUUCUCGACCGCACCA